rnacentral:lncRNA from 1 species
AGACUCAACUAUGGGCACAAUCUGUGUGGCUCCUGCAUCAAUAUAUCGUGGAAAGUUCUAGAUAAUACCUUUUUCAAGUCUGUCUGCCAUUUUUACCGCCCAGACGAAAACUUCAGGCAAAAUCUCUAGCUUGGUAAUUUGACUGAAAUUGAUAAGAUACUACAGAUGAGAAAAAACAACAAGAAAACACAGGAUAGAAUACCAGGUAUAAUAAAUAUAAUCAAUUUCUGGCUUUUCUCUGUGAAAAGAACCUAGAGGUUCUGUAAAUACAGUGCAAUUUCUCCUCAAAACAAUGGAAGCAUUACAUUUGCCCCAUUAAGAAUGCUGCCUCCACCACAGGAAAAUUCUUAAAUGUAGCAUUGAAUUUGAAGAAUAGUGUGGAAGGAAUUGAAACAGUGAUAAAUUUGUAAGCCAACAAAUCAAUGGAGCUGAAAAAAAAUGUAGGAGAGAAGAAAUACAUUCUGAAUCUGAGCAACUUAAAUUGUUUUUACUGAGUGAUCAAGAGACUAUUAUUAGGCAGAUGCAAGAUGAAGGGAUGGAAAUUAUAAAAACUUAAAAACCUUACACAAUUCUCAGAUCAUGUAUUCACAUUAAAAUAUCUAGGGAGGGAGGUAGAAAGCACAUAUGUGCACUCUGAACUGGAAUUACUGAAGUUACAAAUAUUCACCUGAAUGAUAGAAACUCAAAAUAUCCUAAUUUAUUUUCAUUUUGAUUAAAAAAAUAUGAAUUCUGUCUUCUACAAUAUUCUGGGUUGGAUGAAAUUAUUAAGCUAUUUCAAGCAGAUGUGAUUAUGUAUCUUGAAACAGCACAUCCUCACCUUAACAUCUUUGAGUAUAGAAAAAUUAUGUAAUAUGGAAAGAAAAAACACAAUCUUUAUUAUAAAACAAGAAAGCUUUUUUUCUGCUCUGCUGUCCAGAUUCUAAGAAAUGUAAUUAUGGCAGGCAUUACUGGGAGGUAAAAUUGAGUAACAACCCUAAAUGGAUGUUGAGGGGUUCUCAAGACUGUCUUGCUCAGAAAUGACAGAAUCAGCUAUUAUUUCUGGGUGUUCUUGUGCAAUUGGGGGAUAUGCUCAGAGCAGUUAUAUUGUAUUGAGUCGAAGAGAAUCCGGCUUCUUCCAAUAAUAAGACCCAGUAAGAUGGGCAUUUUUCUAUACUAUGAGUUUGGUGAGGUUCCCUUUAAUAUUAAGAAUUUACAGAUUUCUUCUGUACACUUUUAAUGGUUAUUUUACAGAAGCCUUUUGACUUUAUUUUUAUACUAGAACAGAUUUCUGAAGCUCUUAAAAA